rnacentral:rRNA from 1 species
ACUCCUACGGGAGGCAGCAGUAGGGAAUAUUGGUCAAUGGGUGAGAGCCUGAACCAGCCAUGCCGCGUGCAGGAAGACGGCCUUCUGGGUUGUAAACUGCUUUUACCAGGGGAUAAAACGACUCUGCGGAGUUAAUUGAAGGUACCUGGAGAAUAAGCACCGGCUAACUACGUGCCAGCAGCCGCGGUAAUACGUAGGGUGCAAGCGUUGUCCGGAUUUAUUGGGUUUAAAGGGUGCGUAGGCGGGCUAUUAAGUCAGUGGUGAAAUCCAGCAGCUUAACUGUUGAUGUGCCAUUGAUACUGGUAGUCUUGAGUACAGAUGAGGUAGGCGGAAUUGACAGUGUAGCGGUGAAAUGCAUAGAUAUUGUCAAGAACUCCGAUAGCGAAGGCAGCUUACUGGGCUGUAACUGACGCUGAUGCACGAAAGUGUGGGGAUCAAACAGGAUUAGAUACCCUGGUAGGAUAGCGU